rnacentral:misc_RNA from 1 species
UCUCCGUUGGUGAACCAGCGGAGGGAUCAUUAAAGAGUUCUAUAACUCCCAAACCCAUGUGAACAUACCUUACGUUGCCUCGGCAGGUCGCGCCUACCCCGUAACGUCCUACCCUGUAGGACCUACCCGGUAGACGCGGGUAAGCCUGCCGGCGGCCCACGAAACUCUGUUUAAUAUUGAAUUCUGAACCUAAAACUAAAUAAGUUAAAACUUUCAACAACGGAUCACUUGGUUCUG